rnacentral:tRNA from 1 species
GGCGCCGUAGACGAGUGGCCAGAGUCGCCGGGCUUUCACCCCGGAGUUCGCGGGUUCGAAUCCCGUCGGCGCUA